rnacentral:rRNA from 1 species
AUUGAACGCUGGCGGCAGGCCUAACACAUGCAAGUCGAGCGAGCGGCCGACGGGUGAGUAAUUUCUGGGAAACUGCCUGAUUGAGGGGGAUAACUACUGGAAACGGUAGCUAAUACCGCAUACCCUCGGAUGUGCCCAGAUGGGAUUAGCUUGUAGGUGGGGUAAAGGCUAACCUAGGCGACGAUCCCUAGCUGGUCUGAGAGGAUGACCAGCCACACUGGAACUGAGACACGGUCCAGACUCCUACGGGAGGCAGCAGUGGGGAAUAUUGCACAAUGGGCGCAAGCCUGAUGCAGCCAUGCCGCGUGUAUGAAGAAGGCCUUCGGGUUGUAAAGUACUUUCAGCGGGGAGGCGUUACCCGCAGAAGAAGCACCGGCUAACUCCGUGCCAGCAGCCGCGGUAAUUC